rnacentral:piRNA from 1 species
UACCAAAAGACUUUUGCAAGGUGGGAC